rnacentral:rRNA from 1 species
UAAGGAAUAUUGGUCAAUGGACGCAAGUCUGAACCAGCCAUGCCGCGUGAAGGAUGAAGGUCCUCUGGAUUGUAAACUUCUUUUAUCUGGGAUGAAAACGGGAUUUUUAUCUCAAUUGACGGUACCAGAGGAAUAAGCACCGGCUAACUCCGUGCCAGCAGCCGCGGUAAUACGGAGGGUGCGAGCGUUAUCCGGAUUUACUGGGUUUAAAGGGUGCGUAGGUGGGCUUAUAAGUCAGUGGUGAAAUCUCCGAGCUUAACUUGGAAACUGCCGUUGNUACUAUAGGUCUUGAAUUAUCUGGAGGUAAGCGGAAUAUGUCAUGUAGCGGUGAAAUGCUUAGAGAUGACAUAGAACACCAAUUGCGAAGGCAGCUUACUACAUAUAAAUUGACGCUGAGGCACGAAAGCGUGG